UCUUAAUCUAAAAACUCCCACUGAUCCCUUUAACUGUAUUGAGAGCUUCCAUAAUCAUAUAGAACCCCUUAUGCUAAAACUAAUAACAAGAGAAAACCUCUCUCCUAAAUGCAAGCACAAGCCAGCAAGAACCCAUCACUGGCAUCUAGCGAACCCACAGGUAGUAACUCCACUAGAAAACCCUACCCCCCACUCCGUUAACCUAACACAAGAGCAUUUCAAGAAAGAUUAAAAGAAAAAAAAGGAACUCGGCAAACUUAAGCCCCGCCUGUUUACCAAAAACAUCGCCUCCCGACCCCAUGGGAGGUCCAGCCUGCCCAGUGACCCUGUUCAACGGCCGCGGUAUUCUAACCGUGCAAAGGUAGCGUAAUCACUUGUCUUAUAAAUAAGGACCAGUAUGAAAGGCGCCACGAGGGCUAAGCUGUCUCCUCUUUCUAAUCAGUGAACCUAAUCUCCCCGUGAAGAAGCGGGGAUUAAAUAUAAGACGAGAAGACCCUAUGGAGCUUAAAACAUCACACACUUGCCACCCAAUCCGUAACCACCCAGGUGUCUCCCCCCCCCCGGCAUCCUGAUUGUAUGUUUUUGGUUGGGGUGACCGCGGAGAAAAACUCAUCCUCCACAAUGAAAGGGGCCCUCCCCUAAACAACAAGUCACAACUUUACGUAUCAACAAAUUGACAUCAUCGACCCAAUAAAUUGAUCAAUGAACCAAGUUACCCUAGGGAUAACAGCACAAUCCACUUUGAGAGCCCCUAUCGACAAGUGGGCUUAUGACCUCGAUGUUGGAUCGGGAUACCCAAGUGGUGCAGCCGCUUCUAAA
rnacentral:rRNA from 1 species